AUGCUAGUUUUUUUGUUUCCUUUGUUGAGGGUUUAGGCUUGAUCCCCUUUUUGUAUCCCACUUUUUAUUUUUAUCUAUGAUAUUUUAAGCUUAAAAAAAAAAUUACACCUGCACAACAAUUGUUGAGGGUUUAAGCUUGGUCCCCCUCUUCUCGGCGCUGGAUCUGCCAUGAAAGCCAUUUUUCGCCGCCGGUGAUAGACUAGCCACCAGACCUGACGGUAAAAUUGAUACUACUUAAAUUUUAAUUAUGGAUCUAAUUAAAAGGAACAACUUGAGGAAGCAUCAAUGCAAGCUAGUAGACUUCAAUUUUAACAAAGGUAAUAUUUGUUACUACUUUAAAAUUUUAAUUAAAAGGAACCGUUUUAGGAAAGCAUCAAUGCAAGCUAGUGGACUUCAAUUUUAAGAAAGGUACAUGGUUUUUUGUUUCAAUUUUCUAUUACUUUGAUCUUAAUGAUGCUGUAUUGUAUUGAUUGUAUUGUUAAUGUUUAGUUUGCUUGCUAUUGUGCACUAUCAUUACUUGAAUGAAGGAUUUGUCAUGAUUUCAAUCUUCCUUUGGGAAAGAAAAAACAACUCCUAUGAUGAGAUAUAUUUGUCGUGUAAAUGUUCUUUGCUCUUUUUCAUGAAACAAACACACAAUUCAAUGUAAUAAAAUUCUAAAGUUGAUGCAGCCAAACAAGGGUAUGAACAGAAGCAACCUAUAUGACAAGAAGCCAAAUUUACAAAGACAAAACUGUGUUCAUACUUAAAAAAAAAUGCCACUGAUGAAUAAUAUAGAUAAUUCAUAAUUAUUAGAUUUAGCAAAUAAGCAAGAGUCUCAAACAAAGUAUAAUUUAACAACCUAAGAAGUUUGUUUUUGAAACAACAACAUAAAUCUCCACGGAAAGAGGAAAACACAUAGAAACUGUUCAGCCACUACUCUACAUAGUACCAAGGAUCCCUUCCAAACACAAAUUCACCAUUUAUACUAAGGACCCCUUCCAUUUCUUUUACAUGUCUUCCUGACGCGGCUCCAAAUUCAAGUCCGGAAGCAUUGGGACUCUCUUUGGUGAUUCCUGGCCAAUUUGAAUCUCACUUUGAGCACCACUCUCCCCUGAACAUUUUCCUCAACUGUUGUUGAGUUUCCACUGGAUAUGUUACUUGUUUUUGUUCUUGCUGCAUUUACAAUUGUAUCAGGUUCCACCAUUUCAGUCUUCGGUAGAUCUGUAUUAGGUUCCACCAUUUCAGUCUUCAUCAUAUUUGUAUUAGGUUCCGCCAUUUCAGUCUUCAUUGCUCUUUGAGCUAUCGAAGUUGUGUUGUCAGCCGUCUUCAUUGCUUCUAAAGCUAAUACAACAAUUAUGUUGUCAAUAGUUGAAUAUGCUUUUGAGUUAUGCAAAUGUGUUGAGUCUACCAAUUUAUUAUCAUUUGCUCUUUCAUUGUAAAAACUCACGUGCAAGUCAAUUUCAGAAUCACUUAAAUCUUCAUAACAUGUUCUUUGGCUGUUGUCCCUAAGAUUAUAGGCAAUCUUCUUUGGUGUUGUCCCUGAAAGUUUGGAUCAUACAAUAGCAAUAAGGAGAUUUAAAAGAAUACCUUGAAAGCAACAAAGUAUUUUGUCUUAUUCGAAACUUUAAGAUCGCAAAAUGUUUGCUGCUCUAGCUCAACUGGUAACAUGAACAUUAGCAGUAUAAGAACUCACAAGACUAAUAAGGAAAACAUAAUGGAAAUGAAUUUGGAUUACCGCUACACACAGUUUACAGACACUAACAAAGUUUUAUAAGCAUUGCUUUCAAACUUCACAAAACAUCUUAUAUAUCUAAACAAAAUUCACAGUUAAGAACAAGUGAUGAAACUAAUAACUACAGAAAACUAAACCAAUUCUCAAGUGGUAAAAGAACAAACCUUCAAACUAAUCAAAGAGAAGGCAUAUAUUUUUAUCAACAUUAAAUAGUUUUACUAGUCCAAUUUCUACCGACCAACAAUGAAUUGGUCCGGGGUCUUAGACCUCUUAAAUAGAUGGUCAGAGGUUCGAUCCUGACUCCAGAAAAUUUUGUUAAGAGGGAAGAAUCCACUUUGUAUACCCCACAGGUUUUUCGUCACUAUUAAACGGCGGUGAUUAAUUACUUAGUUAUCACUAUGUAAUUAUUAAAAAAUCAUUGUUUCUGUUCCAUUUGAUUUGAGGCCAAACUGUGAUUAAUUCAACGAGAUUGGAUUGAUAAGAAACCACAGUGAGUCAGUGAUCAUAGAAAAAAAAGUGUUACAUUCGAUUCAACUGGAUUAUAACAAAUCCUCUUAAGAAAAAGUAAGAUAAGAUUACAUACAUUGGAAACAGAGCUCAAGAGGAUUGAUGGUGAUGAAUGAAUUUCCAAUAGAAGCAGUAGUCAUGACAAAGGGAUCGAAGUUUCUAGAAUCACAACCGCAACAAUAUCAAUAAAAAAACUGUGAAAUACAAAA